rnacentral:rRNA from 1 species
UACGUAGGGUGCAAGCGUUAAUCGGAAUUACUGGGCGUAAAGCGUGCGCAGGCGGUUAUGUAAGACAGUUGUGAAAUCCCCGGGCUCAACCCGGGAACUGCGUCCGAUACUGGAAGGCUUGAAUCCGGGAGAGGGAUGUGGAAUUCCAGGUGUAGCGGUGAAAUGCGUAGAUAUCUGGAGGAACACCGGUGGCGAAGGCGACAUCCUGGACCGGUAUUGACGCUGAGGCGCGAAAGCCAGGGGAGCAAACGGG